GAUGAACGCUGGCGGCGUGCCUAACACAUGCAAGUCGAGCGAUUUACUUCGGUAAAGAGCGGCGGACGGGUGAGUAACGCGUGGGUAACCUGCCCUGUACACACGGAUAACAUACCGAAAGGUAUGCUAAUACGAGAUAAUAUGCUUUUAUCGCAUGGUAGAAGUAUCAAAGCUUUUGCGGUACAGGAUGGACCCGCGUCUGAUUAGCUAGUUGGUGAGGUAACGGCUCACCAAGGCGACGAUCAGUAGCCGACCUGAGAGGGUGAUCGGCCACAUUGGAACUGAGACACGGUCCAAACUCCUACGGGAGGCAGCAGUGGGGAAUAUUGCACAAUGGGCGAAAGCCUGAUGCAGCAACGCCGCGUGAGCGAUGAAGGCCUUCGGGUCGUAAAGCUCUGUCCUCAAGGAAGAUAAUGACGGUACUUGAGGUGGAAGCCCCGGCUAACUACGUG
rnacentral:rRNA from 1 species